AAUCCGUAUUGCUUGCACUUUCUCAUGAGCUCCUUGAACCUUUUCCACGCUUCAAAUAGAGACUCCAAUUCUAAUUGUACGAAGGAUGAGAUCUCAUUCCUAAGCUU